rnacentral:rRNA from 1 species
GAUGAACGCUGGCGGCGUGCCUAAUACAUGCAAGCCGAGCGAACGGACGAGAAGCUUGCUUCUCUGAUGUUAGCGGCGGACGGGUGAGUAACACGUGGAUAACCUACCUAUAAGACUGGGAUAACUUCGGGAAACCGGAGCUAAUACCGGAUAAUAUUUUGAACCGCAUGGUUCAAUAGUGAAAGACGGUUUUGCUGUCACUUAUAGAUGGAUCCGCGCUGCAUUAGCUAGUUGGUAAGGUAACGGCUUACCAAGGCAACGAUGCAUAGCCGACCUGAGAGGGUGAUCGGCCACACUGGAACUGAGACACGGUCCAGACUCCUACGGGAGGCAGCAGUAGGGAAUCUUCCGCAAUGGGCGAAAGCCUGACGGAGCAACGCCGCGUGAGUGAUGAAGGUCUUCGGAUCGUAAAACUCUGUUAUUAGGGAAGAACAUAUGUGUAAGUAACUGUGCACAUCUUGACGGUACCUAAUCAGAAAGCCACGGCUAACUACGUG